CAGGGCUCACUCCUCUCAGGCAGGCAAAUGUGAUAGCUGAUGAUGCAGGGACGGACCCAGAGGGGGCGUGACACACUGCUCUCUGACCUCCCUGAUUGGAUGCUUGAAAAAAGGAGGACUGGUUACACUCAUUUUCAUCACUCACUCCUCGGUCUGUAGAAAAGGAUCCUUAGGUUAGCGGUGCCCAGAUCCUGCAGAGGGAGGUGGUCUCCAUGUGUAUUGCCGUGCUGACACCUGUGCAGCUACAGAACCUAGCCGUCAUGUACAGCUCAGCUACACAUUUCCUUGUUUGUCCAAUCAGAUCUGGUGGGCGGGCAAUGACGUCACAGGGAUCUCUCUAACAGUCCCCGGCAGUUCUAUCAUUCAAGUCACUCAUCCAAUAAGCAAUGGGGUGGGCGUGGCUUCUGCAUAGUAUGUGCUGGGAAGGGAAAGGAAGCUUCCAUGAGCACUGCCAGCCUGGUGCCUGCGGGGAUGCUUCUGAAUGUACACUGUAGUUGCUUUAACACUUCUGCCAUUGGAUCGGAACCACAUCUUCUCGUUCUAUUGUACACUUGCCUGUAGUAAAAAAGAUUACCCAGAAUGCAUUGCGUCGGUGCAGCACUGAAGGAUUACAGAUAAAUGGAACGUGUGUCAACAGAGGGUGCAUUACAUCAAUUAUGCUCAUUUAUUCCCGAUUACUAUGCAUAAUUGCGCAUAGCAACCUAAUGUCUCUGUUCCUUUCUGUUCCAGCAGUGCCAAUAAACUAACAGUUCUGAGAAAUGCUA